CGGGUGAGUAACACGUAUCCAACCUACCGGUUAUUCCGGGAUAGCCUUUCGAAAGAAAGAUUAAUACCGGAUAGCAUAGCGAGAAGGCAUCUUCUUGUUAUUAAAGAAUUUCGAUGACCGAUGGGGAUGCGUUCCAUUAGUUUGUUGGCGGGGUAACGGCCCACCAAGACAUCGAUGGAUAGGGGUUCUGAGAGGAAGGUCCCCCACAUUGGAACUGAGACACGGUCCAAACUCC
rnacentral:rRNA from 1 species